rnacentral:rRNA from 1 species
UACAGAGGGGGCAAGCGUUGUUCGGAAUUACUGGGCGUAAAGGGCGCGUAGGCGGCCUUCUAAGUCGAACGUGAAAUCCCUGGGCUCAACCCAGGAACUGCGUCCGAUACUGGAUGGCUUGAAUCCGGGAGAGGGAUGCGGAAUUCCAGGUGUAGCGGUGAAAUGACGUAGAUAUCUGGAGGAACACCGGUGGCGAAGGCGGCAUCCUGGACCGGCAUUGACGCUGAGGAGCGAAAGCCAGGGGAGCAAACAGG